GUUAGACUUGCUGCUCGAGGUUUCCGCAAAUGGAAAAUGAUGCGUUAUGUGAAAUUCGCAUUGGCUGCAGGUACUUGCAAUCUCUUCAUUUGGUUUACUGCUCAGGUAUUAUGGACAAAAUGUUAUGCGAUAUAGCAAGAGGGUGCAGGAACUUGAAGAAGCUCCAUAUUCGCAAUUGCGAACAGGUACUCCACGCAUUAUGGGAAGUCUGAGCAUCACAGAGCGCACUGGUUUAACACAUCCUCUAGCUCUUUUUUUUUUUUUUUUGAUAGGUAACAUAUCCUCUAGCUCUAUUGUUUGUAAUUAAUUGGGAUAUAUUUCUGAUUAAUUUGUCUAUGUUUUGCCUCUUUAAUUGGACUGUAACUGGUGACACAAGUGGCUAAACUCUCUUUGCGAACUACUAAUUGUAGUUGUUGUCAAUUAUUACACUAGGCAUCUUCAAGCCUUUGGCUGUUAAGACUUAAUGGGACUUGUUCAAAAUUUUCAUGUGAAAC
rnacentral:lncRNA from 1 species